UGGUCGGUACAGAAGGAAGCGAAGUCGUGAGAUGGAGCAGAUCCGAGAAAGCCCGAUCUCAGUUCGGAUUGGAGUCUGCAACUCGACUCCAUGAAGUCGGAAUCGCUAGUAAUCGCGGAUCAGCAUGCCGCGGUCGAAUACGUUCCCGGGCCUU
rnacentral:rRNA from 1 species